rnacentral:rRNA from 1 species
UACGUAGGCAGCGAGCGUUGUUCGGAUUUACUGGGCGUAAAGAGUGCGUAGGCGGUUUUCUAAGUUUGGUGUGAAAUCUCCCGGCUCAACUGGGAGGGUGCGCCGAAGACUGGAAGGCUAGAGUAUGGGAGAGGUAAGCGGAAUUCCUGGUGUAGCGGUGAAAUGCGUAGAUAUCAGGAGGAACACCUGCGGUGUAGACGGCUUACUGGACCAUCACUGACGCUGAGGCACGAAAGCGUGGGUAGCAAACAGG